rnacentral:rRNA from 1 species
AGAUUGAACGCUGGCGGCAUGCCUUACACAUGCAAGUCGAACGGCAGCACGGGGGCAACCCUGGUGGCGAGUGGCGAACGGGUGAGUAAUGCAUCGGAACGUGCCCAGUAGUGGGGGAUAACUAGUCGAAAGAUUAGCUAAUACCGCAUACGACCUAUGGGUGAAAGCGGGGGAUUCGCAAGAACCUCGCGCUAUCGGAGCGGCCGAUGUCUGAUUAGCUAGUUGGCGGGGUAAAAGCCCACAACGGCGACGAUCAGUAGCUGGUCUGAGAGGACGACCAGCCACACUGGACUGAGACACGGCCCAGACUCCUACGGGAGCAGCAGUGGGAAUUUGGACAAUGGGCGCAAGCCUGACUCCAGCCAUGCCGCGUGCGGGAAGAGGCCUUGGUGUAACCGCUUUUUGGCAGGAACGAACGCGCGAGCGAAUAUCUCGCGUUAA